GAUGAACGCUAGCGAUAGGCUUAACACAUGCAAGUCGAGGGGCAGCAUGGUCUUAGCUUGCUAAGACUGAUGGCGACCGGCGCACGGGUGCGUAACGCGUAUGCAACUUGCCUCACAGAGGGGGAUAACCCGUCGAAAGACGGACUAAUACCGCGUACACUUGGGAUAGGGCAUCCUAACCCAAGGAAAUGAAAUUCGCUGUGAGAUAGGCAUGCGUCCCAUUAGCUAGUUGGUGAGGUAACGGCUCACCAAGGCGACGAUGGGUAGGGGAACUGAGAGGUUGAACCCCCACACUGGUACUGAGACACGGACCAGACUCCUACGGGAGGCAGCAGUGAGGAAUAUUGGUCAAUGGGCGAGAGCCUGAACCAGCCAAGUCGCGUGAAGGAUGACUGUCUUAUGGAUUGUAAACUUCUUUUAUACGGGAAUAACAAGAGUCACGUGUGACUCCCUGCAUGUACCGUAUGAAUAAGCAUCGGCUAACUCCGUGCCAGCAGCCGCGGUAAUACGGAGGAUGCGAGCGUUAUCCGGAUUUAUUGGGUUUAAAGGGUGCGUAGGCGGCCUGUUAAGUCAGCGGUGAAAUCUAGGAGCUUAACUCCUAAAUUGCCAUUGAUACUGGCGGGCUUGAGUGUAGAUGAGGUAGGCGGAAUGCGUGGUGUAGCGGUGGAAUGCAUAGAUAUCACGCAGAACUCCGAUUGCGAAGGCAGCUUACUAAGGUACAACUGACGCUGAAGCACGAAAGCGUGGGUAUCAAACAGG
rnacentral:rRNA from 1 species